AUCACGUGGAAGCACCUGUCCUCAGCCGAUUACCGAAGUUAAGUAACGUUGAGCUUGGUCAGUACCUAGAUGGGUGACCGUUCUGGAAUACCAGGUGCU